CCUACGGGUGGCAGCAGUGAGGAAUAUUGGUCAAUGGACGAGAGUCUGAACCAGCCAAGUAGCGUGAAGGAUGACUGCCCUAUGGGUUGUAAACUUCUUUUAUAAAGGAAUAAAACGAGGCACGUGUGCCUUUUUGCAUGUACUUUAUGAAUAAGGAUCGGCUAACUCCGUGCCAGCAGCCGCGGUAAUACGGAGGAUCCGAGCGUUAUCCGGAUUUAUUGGGUUUAACGGGAGCGUAGAUGGGUUGUUAAGUCAGUUGUGAAAGUUUGCGGCUCAACCGUAAAAUUGCAAUUGAUACUGGCAGUCGUGAGUACAGUUGAGGUAGGCGGAAUUCGUGGGGUAGCGGUGAAAUGCUUAGAUAUCACGAAGAACCCCGAUUGCGAAGGCAGCUUACUAAACUGUGACUGACAUUGAUGCUCGAAAGUGUGGGUAUCAAACAGGAUUAGAUACCCCAGUAGUC
rnacentral:rRNA from 1 species